GCUCCUAGGCCAAGAAAGGAGACUCUGACAUGAGUGGUAAUAGAAGCAAGAGAAUGAAUCUGUGCCUCUCUGCCCCCACCCUUCUCUUUUUGGAAACAGAGACUCUAAAUGAGAACAUUAAGUCCAAAAGGAGAAUUACAUACCAGGACUGUUCAAGGUCUGGUGGAGCCAUUCAUAUAAACAAAUUAUGAAGGUCCUUUUUAGGUGACCGGGAGUCUGAGGGUGAGCUUGAUGGCCCUGUAAUGUAGCCUGCUGCGAUUUCCAUCAUGGCCGGCGCUGUCAACAGAGCACAGCAAAACCUUACCAUGAGGUCCACUCGGCCUUCUCCACAGCAGUGCCAUGAAGCAGCACUGCUCUGACCACCACCGAGGACCAAAGAUCUACCCCAUGGGAGUAGAGAGCAGCUAGCAAAGGUGGGCAGCCCCCUGGGGACAGGGGAUGCCUCUGGUGAAAGGGGAAGAUGGAGCAGCAAGAGACCAGAGUCCUGUCAAGCUUUGGAGAGAGUGAUUCUCGGGGAUGAAGAUGAACCAGGCUCACAUUGUCCGCGGGAAGGGAGAUCUCUUGGUUCCCAUGCUUCCUGAGCUAGAGGUUGUGGAAAGCCUCCUCCACGGCACUGGGAACUGUGAAGUCACCAAGAGGGGAAGGAGGCUGUGAAUCUUGACAAUAAUAAUGAUAGUAAUAAAAAUAAUAGUAAAGUCAGCUCAUGUGAAAAUAGCUCAUCACGGCUCCAAGCAUGCUUGCUUUCGUGGACUAUGGUACAAUGAGAGUUGGCUUGAAGACCGUCAGACUAGAGAAUAAUGGUCCUUUCGCAGCCCUGGACACAGGUGCAUUUGAAAUACCUGUGACACACGCCCCUAAUGUGACAAGUGAGGACUGCUUUGAACCCUUGUUCAUGUGUUCUCUCCUGGAAUUGCUGCUAUGGUUUGGGUCUCCAAUGACCCCCAAAUUACCACGUGUCAAAAACUUUAUUCCUGCCUGUGGAGCUGUAAGGGUACAGUGGAACUUUAAGGAGGUGGAGCCUACUGUGAGGAACUUAGGUGAAUGGGGCACUCUGCUUCUCUUGGCUUCCUGGCUGCCACGCACUCCCACCGUGAUGCUCUCUUGGCCUUGUCACAGGCCCCAAAGAGAUGGAGUCAACCACAAUGUAGGUGUGGUGAUGCGCACUUGGGAUCCUAGGACUCAGGCACAAGAACCACCAAGACUCAACUGAAGAAGCCCCCGAGAGUGUGGACUGAAGCAAACCUUGACUCCUUUAAAUCAACUGCUCUUGGGUGUUCGUCACAGGGAUGGAGAGCUGCCUUAAGAGCUGCUGACCUGUCAUUCAUUCACAAAACUAAAGAGGACAGAGGUCCCCCACUAACUUAACUCCCCCCCCCCCAAG